UUUAUUUUAUUUAGUUAUUUUUUUCCACUUAAGUUGACAAUUGAGUGUUAAUUCUUGUUGGUCUGUCAGUUGGUAUGUGUUUGUUUUGGUGCGUGACAGGAAACGGCGCUGACGUUUUACGGCAGCUUCGGUGCAUUCUGGGUCUAACCCAACAUGGCUGCGCCCUUGCUGAAGUGCUGAAGAAGUGCCUCUCCGGAGAUAUUCUCGGGUCUGUGUGUAGUUUUCAAGAAAACCUUCAAGCCAAAUCAGCUUCUUGGGUCGCUGGUUUGCAGGACAACCCCGCGGGACCCCCGUCAUUGAUAAGUGUGGCCGUCUCUUCGCGUGGCUGUGGCAGACUGUCCGUGUGAAGAUGGGCCUCGUCUCCAGCCCCGUCCCAUAGCAAAGAGCCCCGGGGAGAGGAACCGCAGGUUCCCCUGCAAACACGCACCCGUCCAGCUCGCCUUUGACGGGUUCGACCUCCUGUACCGGCUUUGGACGCUCCCCUACAGUUUCCUGACAAGGAUUAUCUGCGCCACCGUGUCUGUCAUCGUCCGGAGACGGAGAGCUUCUUCCCCAUCCAGGGUUGAUAAUCCCGCCGCACCAAGGGCCCUGAUGAAAAUGGACUCAGAUUUGCUUCAUUCCCCGGCUGUGGGGCUGACUGAGGAAGAGGAGGCAGACAUGAAUGACUGGAAACUUCCUUUGACCUUCAUGAAGAAAAGGCACUUGGAGAAGAUCGAGGGCUCCAAGGCGUUGGCACAGAGCUGGAGGAUGAAAGACAGGAUGAAGACAGUGAGUGUUGCUCUGGUUCUGUGUCUCAAUGUGGGAGUGGACCCCCCUGAUGUGGUCAAGACAUCCCCCUGUGCCAGGCUGGAGUGUUGGAUAGGUGAGUAUAUCCUUCCUAAUAACAAACAUAUAAAUAAAUAAAAAAUCUACUUUUCAAUAAAGAUUGAGGUGCUCUUAACAGAAAUUCAAAUUUGAGUCAGGUGAAGGUAAA